UACAGAGGGGGGCAAGCGUUAUUCGGAAUUAUUGGGCGUAAAGGGCGCGUAGGCGGCUUGGCAAGUGGAUGGUGAAAUCCCUCGGCUUAACCGAGGAACUGCCGUCCAAACUGCUUCGCUUGAGACCGGGAGAGGUGAGUGGAAUUCCCAGUGUAGCGGUGAAAUGCGUAGAUAUUGGGAGGAACACCAGUGGCGAAGGCGGCAUCCUGGACCAACACUGACGCUGAGGAGCGAAAGCCAGGGGAGCAAACGGG
rnacentral:rRNA from 1 species